ACGCGGUGAAUUUCCUGUCACUGGCACUAUCUGAGAUACGCUGCAUUUAGCAAGAUAACAUCACAGGGGAACGAUGAUGGGGGAAGCUUCACAGGAGGCCCUGGAACAGAUUUCAUUCUGUGGCGAUAGCCUCAAGCCCCCCAAACCCAUGGCCUCAGUAACAAUGGCAGGAUUGCAGGGGCAUGUCUCUGAUCUAGUGCGGAGUUCCUGCAGUCUCUCCAUAGUCAGAAAGAAUUCCCAGGAGAUACGCCAUCUGCCCGCAGCCUGCCAUGAAUUUCCAGGGUAUUUUCUCCUCACUGUUCAUGGCACAGAGUGGAUGGUUUUCACCUAGGACAGACAUUGCACAAAUCCUCCUUAGCAUUCUGGGAAAUAUACAUUUGGCAUCUUUCUCCAGUUGCAAAGGGGAAAAUCCAGGAGUUGGCAGAGCCAACAAAAGACAAGCCCAGAUGAGUACUCUUUCCUCUAUCUGUCUUUGGCUUAAUUUACUCCAGAGUUAAGGGGAAAGAUUCUGUUCGUGACCUACUAGCUACUAGCGUUUCCUGAGUACCUACUUCCCUGGAAAAGAACAUUGAAAUCCCCGAUAAUCUGACGCCUCUUCUCUCCUCCCUUUCCAUUCCCAGGUCACUUUCCGCCCCAGAGGAGGACUGUCUCAUCGGUAAUAACAGCUCCUAGGAACCGGCAAAGCGUGGUGAUGAAGGGGCCAGGGCUUGAUAAAGAUCCAAAGCAGAGCAUCAUUCAGACACUGCCGAUGCUAUUGACGCUGGUGAAGCAUGAGGAUUUCUUUGCAAGUGAUGCUAAUAAGUCCAGCUUUGUGGCUGUGUUUUAAAUUAUUUCUGAACUGUCUGUACCAAAGGUAUGAUAAUUGCUUUACUUUAUGGGGUAAAACUUAUCAGCCUCCCAGUCUUCUUUUUUGUUCAUGAUUAUUGGUUUAAAUGUGAAAAUUUUGCACUCAUUUCUGUGGAGAUGGGGUUCUCAUCUGUAUCACCUCCUGGACAUGUCAGUCUCAUAAAAAAGACACACGCAUACAUCUCUCUCUCUCUCUCUCUCUCUCACACACACACACACACACACACACACACACACACACACACACACACGGUUCUGGAUCAGAUCUUUAAGCCAAAUUUAACUCUUAAAUGUCACACUGUCUUUCCUUAUAUCUCUACAUUUGCUAUUAGUCUUGUCUGACUUA